UCACAAAUUCACAAUUGAAUGGUUUAUUUAAAUAUAAUUAUCUCGUGAUCUCUAAACUGAUUAAUUCUUGGUCAUAUGCAUGACGUUGCUGGUGGUUAAUUUUGAUACUCGGGUUGACACUAUUUUGUAAAGCAAAUUGUCAUGGAGAAUGAUUAAAAAAAUAUAUUGCUUAAAGAUUAGUGAAAAUAUACCCGAGUGUCACUGGAUAGCUCAAAGGUCAGGUUAUUUUUCUUUUAUAAUUAAAAAUAAUAUUAACUAUUUGGGUUUCAAUAUUUAUAUGCAUCAACAAAAUUUCUUUUGGGAUUGUCGAAAAAAACUCUUUUGAAUUUUCAAACAUAAUUUUUUAAAAAAUAGAAAACAAAUGAAAAUAAAAAUUAUUGUAAUUAUUGAUAAAAACAUGAAUCGUUUCAAAUACUUGAAAAUUAUUGUAAUUAUUCACAUUUUUAUUAUGUUCCAUGUUAUAGUUUUUUCUUUAACAAUUGUUAUGUUCGUUUUGUUAAGAUUUGUUAGGGGAUUCCAAUUGGGGGUCGAGUGCAACAACAAGCCUAGGAUCAACAAGAGACUCAGACACUACAUUUUCAUAAAAAAAUCAUAAGAUAUCGAGUAUAUGGAUGACAUACAUACUGUUAUUUACAUUUAAAAAUAAUUAAGUUGUUAACCGAGAACGACGAGCAAUCAAAUUUAGAGUUAGUUGAAUUUCCUUUACACAAAUAAAUAAUAGUUGAAUCAAUAUCAGAAGCAGUCAAGGACAUACAUAUGUGAGAUUUGAUUGGAAAUAUCUAUAGAUAGGUUAAUCUUGUUUAUUUUUUUAUUUUUUAAGGAAGAUAGCUUAAUCUUGUUGAAACUUCCUUUAGUAGUCAUUUGCCUAGAGGCUGGCUUCUAACAAAAAUGCUCUUUCCACAUCACUUUGUUGAAUAGCAUAUAAAAC
rnacentral:lncRNA from 1 species